rnacentral:rRNA from 1 species
GACGAACGCUGGCGGCGUGCUUAACACAUGCAAGUCGAACGGAAAGGCCCUGCUUUUGUGGGGUGCUCGAGUGGCGAACGGGUGAGUAACACGUGAGUAACCUGCCCUUGACUUUGGGAUAACUUCAGGAAACUGGGGCUCAUAUCGGAUAGGAGCUCCUGCUGCAUGGUGGGGGUUGGAAAGUUUCGGCGGUUGGGGAUGGACUCGCGGCUUAUCAGCUUGUUGGUGGGGUAGUGGCUUACCAAGGUUUUGACGGGUAGCCGGCCUGAGAGGGUGACCGGCCACAUUGGAACUGAGAUACGGCCCAGACUCCUGCGGGAGGCAGCAGUGGGGGAUAUUGCACAAUGGGCGGAAGCCUGAUGCAGCAACGCCGCGUGCGGGAUGACGGCCUUCGAGUUGUAAACCGCUUUCGCCUGUGACGAAGCGUGAGUGACGGUAAUGGGUAGAGAAGCACCGGCUAACUACGUG